rnacentral:lncRNA from 1 species
CUCACACACAGACACACAGACACAUGCACCACAUUAUCUUUAUUUUUCUCAUUGGCUACAGAUCAGACCGGAUUAGACUUGGUCCUGUGGGGAGGCACUGUUCUAGAAGUAACACCGAAUCUGUCUUCUCCGGCUAUAGAACACCAGGAGUCAGGGCAUCUAGCAACCUUCCAUGGGACCCAGCAAAAGAGGCAUCACAAACUGCUGGCAAGCCUGCAUCUCCAUACUGCCCAGAGGCCAGACAUCUCCAUGGAACUGACAGGGCAGCAGUCACAAAUUCUAACCACCCCGUGCUAGAUUUCUCUAGGCAUGUGGAGAGCCAGGUGCUCUUUCCAUUUCGCAUGUGAAAAAACUAAGACAUAAAGAGGUUAAAGGAUUUUUCUAAUUAACAUUGAUUCAGUGGUGAAAAUAGGACAAGAAAGCACAUUUUAAAGCUGGGGCCAUUGUUCAAAGAUUUGAGGGCAAUGUACCCAGCCACCUAUCCACUCUGCAGGCAAGACAAACAGAACAAGUAGGGCAACUAUAAAUCUGCUGGCAUCAAUCGGCACAACAAAAAUAGCACUACUAGUGCCUUUUUUAUUCCCAAGAAAAUGUGUCCUCUAUAGCCAAUUAUUUAAAGAAAAGUUCACAUGUGAGUGAUUUUUUUUUUUUUAGAUAUAAACAUGAAGGCCAGGUGCGGCGGCUUACACCCGUAAUCCCAGCACUUUGGGAAGAGUGAAGUGGAGGAAGAGGUACAUUCAACUACAGAGGAGGAAACUGAGGCCCAGAGGGGAAAAGUGACUUGAUUGACAAAAAUUGGAUUCUGGUCUUUGUUCUGCCAAAGGCUGCCAGAACCUUUCCUUGUAGUGCAAGAACAACCACACUGCUGGAAGUGAAAUUUGCAAUCUGCUCUAUCAGAUGAUUUCUGCGCAUGGGCUGUUACUAUGUUCAAAGCAUUAAACUGCCUGAAAGUGGAUUAUUUACAGAGCUUCUCUCUUCCCAGAGCUACGGAUAGGUGGCAAUUCAGCCUCUUCACCCUAAUGCACACUUUCUCACUUUCCACCGAGACUCUUUGUUUGCUGACAGCAUCUGGCUAUCCUGAGUACUUGCCUUAGCUGGCACAGUUCUCUCCAAUCCCUAGAAGAAACAGCCUUCACCUACACUCCAGGGAUGAAAUAACAUUUCAGCUCAAAGCUAGCAACCUUUCUCUGAAAUGGUGUCACACCCAGACAGAAAAAUAAAUGUGCUGUUUCUUCUUAGAUGAUGAGAAGUCAGGCUUUCAGGCAGACUUUUGACACAGGGAGGAUCAAGGUUUGACUGCCUUUGAGUAAUCCUUGCAGAAAAAACAGCACCUAAUUGGACAAAGGAAGAAAGGAACCAGCUGCUACUGUCAAGAUUAUUUAAACACCCAUCCACAGUCAAAAACACUGCAUUGUUUCAUUACAAGUGAAAUUUGAUUGCCACUACAUUUCCUGCUGGCCUCCCCUCUAUGCAAAUUGGGGAGAAGAAAGAAAUUCAUAAGGCACCAGAACCCAUUUGGCUUCUAAAUGUACUGUUUGCAUAUAGACAUCAGCAGCCUGAAUAAAUCCUAGCGAGGAAUGUCAAACUGACAACACUGGCUACUUUUCUAUUGUUCUCCCUGAAAACAUCGUUUUUAACACGUUCACAAAGCCACUAAAUCUGUGUUGCUGAGUCUGCUGUUUGCAUGCAGGAAUGUGAAGGACUGCUCAAGUUGGAGAUACAAAUUGAAGCCAGCCCCAGUUCAAAACUGUUACAAAUGGAGUCUGUAGGCAUGAGGGGCUGACUAUAUAACUCAGAGUUCUCCAGUACUUUACUUUAAUAAAGAACACAAUCUUUAUUAAAGGAUAAGUAAUAAAAAUGUGUUGAUGUGCAACUUAUGGAUCUAUUAUUAAAACUCAACAGUCAUUGCAGCAAUGUUUAGAACUUAAGCAAACAAAAGUUUUGUGAGGGGGCAAUUUUAUCAAUGACAUUGUUUAGAAAUGUUGGUAGAUGGUGAUCAUAAAAAGCAGAUCAAUGUUUUAUUUCACUUGGGUUUUUAAAAAUUAUUUUUAAAAAAUU